GGCUCCAUUCUAUUAGAACUAGGGAUAGACCGAUUAUCGCCCAGGGCUGAUUAUUUGGACGUAUUUUGGCAGUUUGCAGAUUAUCUGUAUCAGCGUUUUAUUUGCAUGAUAACUGAGGAAGUUAAUUUACUAAAAAGUGUUCUACUUUGGCUCGGCUACAGCUCUGUCUGUCCCUCUGCUUCGGUAACACUCACCACUGAGU